UGGUGUCCUGGUCUUAAGGAGGCAUAGUCACGGCGUCUCUGUCUUCCGAGCAGGUGGAGCUGCAGCAAGCCCUGCAGACGGUGCGGAAGGAGCUGGAGGAGGCCCUGGCACAGGAGGCGGACUUGGGGAAGAAGACGGUGGUGUGGAAGGAGAAGGUGAAGGUGCACCGGCAGUGGUUCCGGCUGGAGUUUGAGAAGUACCGUGGCUUUCUGGCCCUGGAGGAGCGGCUGCAGCUGCGGAGGCUGGAGGAGGAGGAGCGAGGGGCCCUGCAGAGGCUGCGGGACAGAAGAGCAAGGCUGGACCAGCACAGCAAGGCCUUGAAGGAGCUGGUUGAGGAGCUGGAGCGGAGGAGCCGGCUCCCAGCUCUGGGCCUCCUGGAGGGCAUGAGCGAGGUCUUGAGCCGGAGCACGGCGGUCACUCGGCUGGAAUCCGAGACCACCCCGCUGGAGCUGAGGACCAUGUGCUGCAUCCCGGGAAUGAGGGACAUGUUGAGGAGGUUCCAAGGUGGGUGGCUGGGUCUGUGUCACACUUGUGGCCACAUCCACUCAGUGGUAGCAACAGCAGAACUGGAUGCCUUCAGGGCAGAACUCACAAGUGUUUCCUGGCAGGGCCUACAGGGGCUUUUGUGCCACACCUGUCUCCCCAGACCCUUGCCAUGUACUCUGCUCCUUCCUGUGCAAGACAGCAUGGGACGGAGGGUUUUAGCUAGCAGAUCUCCCAUCUCCUGUAGUCAGUGCAACACGUAGGGCGCAGGCAGGCAGCAUUUAGGAUUCUUGCCUGUGUCUAAGUCACUUCUUUGUGCCACUACCAACCUGGGGACAGCAUCGGAUCCACACUGGGAGGGCUGGGUCCCUCAUGGCUGCCCCUGCCUCAGGGGCCAGGGCUGGCAGGGCUGGCAGUGUCCCCACAAACCAGCCAUGCAUUGAGUUUCCUACAGGCCCUCCUGGGAGUGGCUGGCUUCUCUAGAGCAGUGCACAGAACCCCUCAUCUUUGUCAGUCGGUACAGACAACUUCAGUCGGGUGUAGACCAGCCUCGGCAGAGUGCCCAUGUUCAGCAUCUGGCUGCCCUCAGAGUUUGUGUUUUACAACAGCCUCCUGUGUAGACAGGACUGACGACUCAUCUCCCCUGCUCAGACUCCUCCCUGGGAGUGGGGAGUUUAGCUUGUGGCUGCAGUUUACCCUGAGAUAAUGCUGCAGGCAUUAGAGUCCUAACCUCAUCC
rnacentral:lncRNA from 1 species